UGGGGAAUAUUGGGCAAUGGGGGCAACCCUGACCCAGCGACGCCGCGUGGGGGAAGACGGCCUUCGGGUUGUAAACCUCUUUUGUACGGGAAGAAGGAAGUGACGGUACUGUACGAAUAAGUCCCGGCUAACUACGUGCCAGCAGCCGCGGUAAUACGUAGGGGACGAGCGUUGUCCGGAAUUACUGGGCGUAAAGGGCGCGCAGGCUGUGCUGCAAGUCAGCUGUUAAAUGUCUGGGCUUAACCCGGGCAUGCGGUUGAGACUGCGGUGCUGGAGUGCUGUAGAGGCAAGUGGAAUUCCCAGUGUAGCGGUGAAAUGCGUAGAUAUUGGGAAGAACACCGGUGGCGAAGGCGACUUGCUGGGCAGCAACUGACGCUGAGGCGCGAAAGCCAGGGGAGCAAA
rnacentral:rRNA from 1 species